UGGCAGAGGGAACUGUUAAUGAAUGACUAUUGGAAACUCUAGGCAGACGCUGCGUUGAAAUGCUUACUCGCCUGUGAUUAAUGACUACUAGGCUGCUGUAAUAGGUACCACUGGGACCUCAGACACUGGCACCUUUUUAUAGAAUAACCCCAAAAGCCGAGAGAUGAAGUCCCAACUAUAGUACCUCUUCAAGUAAAGAAAGCAAAACCUCUCAAAGUGGCCCUGUGUGAAGGUACAGUCAUAAUCCUAAUAGACUCCAGCCCAGACAAGCGUCCAGCUGGUUCCAAUUGGAAGCAAUCAGGGAGCAGUAUUUAGAGGAGUGGAUUCCCUGAGACGGACGCCAGUCAGUUAAAAUCCAACAUAGUGCUUUGCAGUCUCCAAGCCGGUUCUCCACUCAGUCUUCCUGGAUCCAUCCUCGAACGCUCACCUGCCUGUC